AACGAACGCUGGCGGCAGGCUUAACACAUGCAAGUCGAACGAAGCCUUCGGGCUUAGUGGCGGACGGGUGAGUAACGCGUGGGAAUCUACCGUGCCCUACGGAAUAGCUCCGGGAAACUGGAAUUAAUACCGUAUACGCCCUACGGGGGCAAGAUUUAUCGCCUUUAGAGCGGCCCGCGUCUGAUUAGCUAGUUGGUGAGGUAAAGGCUCACCAAGGCGACGAUCAGUAGCUGGUCUGAGAGGAUGAUCAGCCACAUUGGGACUGAGACACGGCCCAAACUCCUACGGGAGGCAGCAGUGGGGAAUCUUGCGCAAUGGGCGAAAGCCUGACGCAGCCAUGCCGCGUGAAUGAUGAAGGUCUUAGGAUUGUAAAAUUCUUUCACCGGGGACGAUAAUGACGGUACCCGGAGAAGAAGCCCCGGCUAACUUCGUGCCAGCAGCCGCGGUAACAC
rnacentral:rRNA from 1 species